rnacentral:rRNA from 1 species
ACACACCGCCCGUCACACCAUGGGAGUGGGCUGCAAAAGAAGUAGGUAGUUUAACCUUCGGGGGGACGCUUACCACUUUGUGGUUCAUGACUGGGGUGAAGUCGUAACAAGGUAGCGCUAGGGGAACCUGGCGCUGGAUCACCUCCUUAAACGAUGAU